rnacentral:rRNA from 1 species
UACAGAGGGUGCAAGCGUUGUUCGGAAUUAUUGGGCGUAAAGGGCGUGUAGGCGGUCUGCUAAGUCAUGUGUGAAAUCCCUCGGCUUAACCGAGGAACGACGCAUGAAACUGGCAAGCUAGAGUACCAAAGAGGGGGGUGGAAUUCCCGGUGUAGCGGUGAAAUGCGUAGAUAUCGGGAGGAACAUCAGUGGCGAAGGCGGCUACCUGGCCCAAUACUGACACUCAGGUGCGACAGCGUGGGGAGCAAACAGG